rnacentral:ncRNA from 1 species
GCUCUUUCUCGAUUCCGUGGGUGGUGGUGCAUGGCCGUUCUUAGUUGGUGGAGCGAUUUGUCUGGUUAAUUCCGAUAACGAACGAGACUCUGGCAUGCUAACUAGUUACGCGACCCCCGAGCGGUCGGCGUCCCCCAACUUCUUAGAGGGACAAGUGGCGUUCAGCCACCCGAGAUUGAGCAAUAACAGGUCUGUGAUGCCCUUAGAUGUCCGGGGCUGCACGCGCGCUACACUGACUGGCUCAGCGUGUGCCUACCCUACGCCGGCAGGCGCGGGUAACCCGUUGAACCCCAUUCGUGAUGGGGAUCGGGGAUUGCAAUUAUUCCCCAUGAACGAGGAAUUCCCAGUAAGUGCGGGUCAUAAGCUUGCGUUGAUUAAGUCCCUGCCCUUUGUACACACCGCCCGUCGCUACUACCGAUUGGAUGGUUUAGUGAGGCCCUCGG